ACUCACAUAGCUCAAUUGGUCAGAGCAGAAAUUUUAUACAUUCAAGGUUAGGGGUUCAAGUCCCUUUGUGAGUA
rnacentral:tRNA from 1 species